ensembl:snRNA U6 U6 spliceosomal RNA
GUGCUCAUUUUGGCAGCACAUAUACUAAAAUUGGAACGAUACAAAGAAGAUUAGCAUGGCCCCUGAGCAAGGAUGACCGGCAAAUUUGCGAAGCUUUGCAUAUUUUU